AAAGGCAUUGAUUAAUGGUCUUAGAUUAUUUGGAUAAACUAUUGCAGUUCAACUGUGCAACUAAUGUAUCGUAUAAAGUGUCACAUUAAACAAGAUGAAAGAUCAUUAAACUGAUUAAGAACUGACCAUCAAAUCUUAGAUGUAAUUGAUUACGCCACAUCACUCCCCGCUAAACAAAAUUCGUUUUCACUCGAAUUAAAAAAAAUUCAUACCAAAAAUAUUAUAUAAGUAAAAAAUAAGGGGAGGAAAUGUGAACAUUAAAAAAUAAACUUUUUCUUUAACUAAAAC
rnacentral:lncRNA from 1 species